rnacentral:rRNA from 1 species
UAGUUUUUUCUUGGCUCAGGAUGAACGCUAGCGGCAGGCCUAACACACGCAAGUCGAGGGGUAAGGAGAGCUUGCUUUCCCUAGACCGGCGCACGGGUGCGUAACACGUGUACAAUCUACCUUUUGCUAAGGGAUAGCCCGAAGAAAUUUGGAUUAAUACCUUAUAGUAUUGUUUGGUGGCAUCACUGAAUAAUUAAAGCUCUGGUGGCAAAAGAUGAGUACGCGUCCCAUUAGCUAGUUGGUGUGGUAACGGCAUACCAAGGCUACGAUGGGUAGGGGUCCUGAGAGGGAGGUCCCCCACACUGGUACUGAGACACGGACCAGACUCCUACGGGAGGCAGCAGUGAGGAAUAUUGGACAAUGGUCGGAAGACUGAUCCAGCCAUGCCGCGUGCAGGAUGACGGCCUUAUGGGUUGUAAACUGCUUUUGUACGGGAAGAAUAAGGUCUACGUGUAGAUUGAUGACGGUACCAUACGAAUAAGCAUCGGCUAACUCCGUGCCAGCAGCCGCGGUAAUACGGAGGAUGCGAGCGUUAUCCGGAAUCAUUGGGUUUAAAGGGUCCGUAGGCGGGCUUAUAAGUCAGAGGUGAAAGCACUGAGCUCAACUGAGUAACUGCCUUUGAAACUGUAGGUCUUGAAUGUUGGAAGAGAGUUGGAAUGUGUAGUGUAGCGGUGAAAUGCAUAUAUAUUACACAGAACACCGAUUGCGAAGGCG